rnacentral:rRNA from 1 species
AUUGAACGCUGGCGGCAGGGUAACACAUGCAAGUCGAGCGGCGGAGGAAGUAGCUUGCUACUUUGCCGGCGAGCGGGGGACGGGUGAGUAAUGUCUGGGAAAACUGCCUGAUGGAGGGGGAAACUUACUGGAAACGGUAGCUAAUACCGCAUGACCUCUAAAAAAGCAAAGUGGGGGACCUUCGGACCUCACGCCUUCGAUAUGCCCAGAGAGGAUUGGCAUUAGGGGAGGAAAGUCUUACCUAGGGACAAUCUCUUGCUGGCUUAGAGGAUGAACCGACCCACGGAACUGUGAGACGGUCCCGACUCUUACGGGGGGAGCGGUGGGGGAUAUUGCGCAAUGGGCCACGCCUGAAGCGGCCAUCCCCCGCGUGUGAAGAAGGCCUUAGGGUGUAAGGACUUUCAGCGAGGGGAGGGCCCCAACUUAAAACGUGUGGGAUUGGGUUAUCCGCAGAAAAAACACAGCUAAAUCCGUGCCGCGGCGCGGUAUACGAGGGUCAAAGUUAUUGGAUUCUGGGGUAAAGGACGAGGGGAUUGUAAGUCGAGUGAAACCCCCGCUUACUGGGACUCAUUUGAACUGGAGUGAGUCUGUAGAGGGUGAAUCCGGGAGCGUAAACUAAGAUCUCGAGAAUCGUGUGAGGGCCCUGCAAGCUACUCAGACGAAGCUGUUGCAACGAUUGUCCUGUAUCCAUGCGAGUCGAAUUGCUGACCGGUUCCUAGUUAGCGCGAACGGGACUCAUCACUAAUAGA